rnacentral:misc_RNA from 1 species
AACAAGGCGUACCUGCGGACCUGCGGAAGGAUCAUUAAAAAGAGUGUGUACCCCUCUGUAAAAUGAGUGGGUUACCUCCCGUCCUUUGUUGACCUCUUAGGAGGUUAUUUUGAACUUUCUGCUUCGGUGGGGUUAAACCUACCGGAACACCCUCAAAUUCUUAUCAUUUAAAAAUUGUUCAGUCUGAUUUUUGUUAAUAAAAACAAAAAACUUUCAGCAAUGGAUCUCAGAUCGGAAGAG